rnacentral:siRNA from 1 species
GAUGAAGCAUUGGAUAAGCUGCUA